AAAAAUAAUCUUUUUAAUAUAUUGGUGUUUGACAUGCUGAGUACCAUGGCCUACCCACAUUGGCAUAUAACAUUAAGCAGCACAAUCUUGUCUUAUUGAGUUUGGUUAGGACUCAAGAGGAAGCCAUGCUGAGCGGUUUAUACAGACAAAAGUGAAAGCAUUGGCUUCCUAGGUUAAUAAUUUAUCACCAUCUACCACAACAUUACACCUCAGUCUAGUUUUGAUAUUCUUCCUGAAAAACAAUUUAAAAGAAUAUAUUAUGGUGAAGAGAAAAAAGGAAAAUAGCUUUAAAAUUCAUCUAAAUAAUCAGUACAAUGCUAUUUGACUACUAAAUAACCUUAUGUUAUGGUUUGGAGUAAUGUAAUGGUUAAUUCAACUGCCACAGUGUAUCCUGUGAGCUCAAUUAUUGCAAAAUAUGUAAACAAUGUUCAAUAGCCUUCUUAAUGCUCUCAUUUGGAUGAAUGUAUGUUAAUUUUGAUCAGCCCAAAUUCUCUUUAUAAAACACGUGGAAAAUUGCUGGGCUAAAGAUUGUGUUUUGCCGCAGUCUGGCUGGGCACAAAUCACGAGCCACUCAAGAGGAACAAACUUUAUUUCUGAACUCCACCAGCACACUCCACACACGCUCCCCAGGAACUCUCCCGAACGCUACGUGGCUCCUCCUGGAACCACCAACCGGAAAUCCCUCCUCCAGCACUUCCCCAACCAAUGGGAACUCUUCAGGAAUCCCCGCAAGACCUCAAUGGAACUCAACGGGAACUCCGAGAGAACUCAAAAGUCAUCAUCUUAAUGGCUCGCUGGCGUCACCUGUCAACCACUACUUCUGGCAAAAAUGCCGUGGGUCAUCCCGACUCGGCUGUGGCCCUCAACAGUGUUUACUAUCCUGCCAGACAAAGUCAGGUCUGGGUUAAUGAGUGGUCACCUUGUGUGAAUGCACCCGGUAUUCCAGACAUGCUGUAGCCCCUUACAGCUUGCCCAGUGGUCCAUACCUGGAGCGCUGCCUGAGACAGCCUUCUUGCACCCCCAUUGUGUUCCUCCUCCUAAAGGCACCUACAAGUUCCUCCUUCUGGGUACCCUUGUCUGAUUCUUCCUCCAGGUUUGUCCAUAAACCUCUGUGUAAGAAUGCAUUCCAUCUUAAACUGUAACUACCUCUAACUCUCUCCUACUGGAAGUGUUAUUCAACUUGGCUAAAGUUAUGAACUCUAUUUUUCCCAUUCCUUAAGUAUUUCAGGUUUAUAGCUCAAAGAAAGUAAUUGAGAAAUCUUUGGAAAAUAGAAGCCUACUAAUUUCUUAAUUUAUAUAAUCAAUCAGAAAGUGUUUAUGUCUCAUGAACCCACGUCUCACUCAAAUCACCACAAUGGAGAGUUUUAUAGCUCAUUCACCUUUCUGGAGUUAAGUCAGUCCACAGGCCUAGAGUCUUCUGAAUGAAACGGAGAUCUUAUCUCCUUGAGGAAAGACUGUAUUACACGGUCAGAAAUUAAUAGUGCAAAUCUUCCUCUUGCUUGUCUCCAAAGGGGCCUGAGAUGAUUUACCAGGGUGGAUGUGCAUUAGAAGAGAGAAAUUACACUUUGCAGGCUCUAAAUUUAGACUUAUUGUUAGGAAUUUAAAAUGCCAUGGUCUACUAUUCAUAUUUAGCUCCAGAAAUUAUUCUAUAUUCAUUCCCUGAACUGUGGAGCAAGGACCAAGGACCAUUAUUGUAGGAAAGGUAAAGUUGAACUGCUUCCACUUAUCAAAGUUAAUAAACUAAAAACAAUCACCUCCUGGAAGAACUGUAGAGAUGAUGCCUCUGUCAAGGACCUAAAGAACACAGGGGAUGCAUAGGAGAUUGAAACUGCAGAAAAGAACAGUGGAGUAUCAUCAAUUUAAUUGUAUGGUGACUCCAGUUGUGGAUGUUCCUCCAGUUAUAGGUUCUAUCUAGAAGCAAAUUAAAAUAGCCCUUAUUACCAGGCAUGUGGCUAUUAAUCUGGUGCAUAUUCUUGAGCUUUAUGUUUUUAAGAAAUGAUACUAAAAUUGUACUGUCUUCCUCUGGCAGGAUUAGCACAACACUGUCUUAUCUCAAGACCCUCCACCCUCCAGCCCUGUGCAAUAAUGUAGCCCACUGGGAUCUUGAUGCCCACUAGGAUCUUGUUCAUUCUACAGUACAUUCUGCUGAUGCUAUAUAUCGGUGCUCAGAUCUGGUGAGGAUAGAAUACAACAUGUCAUAGGCUCCAUGACUAGUGACAUACCUGAAUACCAGAAACAGGAAAUACAUACCUAAACAUGCAAGGCCCUUCUACCUUGGUAAAAUAACUAGAGGCCCGGUGUCCUGGGGGUACAUUGAGCUAUUUCCUCCAAGGGGAAGGACUCUUUAGAUUUGUGGAGUGUACUUUAUCCUAAUUAAUGAUUAACCUAAGGAUCUGUCCAUAUUGAAUGGAGGCUAGAUAAUAGUAAUAGGUCCAGAGAGUCACACAAGACCUCUGCUGCUGAGGUCUUAUGACCCAGUAGAACCAAAGUGCUUGAAGGGUUUGUGAAUGAUGAGAAUGCUGCACAGAGCAUUUGGCCAGUCCCUCCAGAAUCACAGAGCAAACCUUCAGGAUUGGGAACAAAGCUCUGCCUUCUGCACAGACAGUGAGUUUGUGAUAUCUUCCGCCUCCUGCAGCCCCCUAGUUGAGAAUGUCUAGAAAGUAACCCCUCAACCUAGUCUCCCCUUGGAGGACUGGGAGACAUCUGAACUGCAAUGAAGCUGGGUGAGCAUGGCAGCUUUCUGUUUAAAAGUUGAAGUUAUACUGAUGCUUAAGACUGAGUCCAAACAAACCUGAAGGCAAAUGUGGCACAAAAAGAGAGACUGAGACCUGCAUGCUUCCUUCUGCUUCCACAAGUGCUCUCUCAGCUCAAGCACAUGGCCACACAGGGACUGCCUUAGGAAAAGAAUUGGAACCUGUCUUAUAGAUGAUUCCUAUGAUGUGCUGGCUCACCUGAAAGGAGACAGCCCCAACCCUACAGCCCCACUCUGGGACACCCUUCAGCAGCCCUCUCUUCAGGAACCCUGAAGUACUGUGACAAGGAAGACCCAUCCUGUGGCAGAACUUCAAGCAAGGCCACGGUUAUUCCUUUUUUCUAGAAGGAGAGAUUAUCAGAGGUACUCACCCUUAGUAACUCAUAAGUAGUGACCGUUGAUUAGCUACGUGCAACUUCAGAGGAACAGAUUUGGGAAACCUGUGACCAAGGAGUCAGCGAAAGAGGUGUGGGGCUGGCCUUCUCUGCAUGGUCACAGCAUGAGGAGGUUUUUGUCCCAUUAUUAAUGUAAUGGCUAGAAUGCUGGCGGACUGGCUGCAGUGUGAAAAGGGGUUUAAAUCAGC
rnacentral:lncRNA from 1 species